AUUGAACGCUGGCGGCAGGCCUAACACAUGCAAGUCGAACGAGUGGCGGACGGGUGAGUAAUGUCUGGGAAACUGCCUGAUGGAGGGGGAUAACUACUGGAAACGGUAGCUAAUACCGCAUACCAUCGGAUGUGCCCAGAUGGGAUUAGCUAGUAGGUGGGGUAAAGGCUCACCUAGGCGACGAUCCCUAGCUGGUCUGAGAGGAUGACGAGAAACAUUGGAACUGAGACACGGUCCAGAUUCAGACGAGAGGCAUGAGUGGGGAAUAGUGAACAAUGGGCGGAAUCCUGAUGAAUCCAUGCGGCGUGGAUAAAGAAGGCCUUCGGGUUGUAAAGUACUUUCAGCGGGGAGGCGUAAAGCGAAGAAGAAGCACCGGCGAACUCCGUGCCAGCAGCCGCGGUAGUAA
rnacentral:rRNA from 1 species